rnacentral:rRNA from 1 species
GACGAACGCUGGCGGCGUGCUUAACACAUGCAAGUCGAACGGAAAGGCUCCAGCUUGCUGGCGUACUCGAGUGGCGAACGGGUGAGUAACACGUGGGUAAUCUGCCCUGCACUCUGGGAUAAGCCUGGGAAACUGGGGCUAAUACUGGAUAUGACCUUUCUCCUUAUGGGGGUUGGUGGAAAGUUUUUCGGUGUAGGAUGAGCCCGCGGCCUAUCAGCUUGUUGGUGGGGUGAUGGCCUACCAAGGCGACGACGGGUAGCCGGCCUGAGAGGGUGAUCGGCCACAUUGGGACUGAGAUACGGCCCAGACUCCUACGGGAGGCAGCAGUGGGGAAUAUUGCACAAUGGGCGGAAGCCUGAUGCAGCGACGCCGCGUGAGGGAUGACGGCCUUCGGGUUGUAAACCUCUUUCAGCAGGGACGAAGCGUAAGUGACGGUACCUGCAGAAGAAGCACCGGCUAACUAUGUG